rnacentral:rRNA from 1 species
AUUGAACGCUGGCGGCAUGCCUUACACAUGCAAGUCGAACGGUAACAGGUCUUCGGAUGCUGACGAGUGGCGAACGGGUGAGUAAUACAUCGGAACGUGCCUAGUAGUGGGGGAUAACUACUCGAAAGAGUGGCUAAUACCGCAUGAGAUCUACGGAUGAAAGCAGGGGAUCGCAAGACCUUGUGCUACUAGAGCGGCCGAUGGCAGAUUUGGUAGUUGGUGGGAUAAAAGCUUACCAAGCCGACGAUCUGUAGCUGGUCUGAGAGGACGAUCAGCCACACUGGGACUGAGACACGGCCCAGACUCCUACGGGAGGCAGCAGUGGGGAAUUUUGGACAAUGGGCGAAAGCCUGAUCCAGCAAUGCCGCGUGCAGGAUGAAGGCCUUCGGGUUGUAAACUGCCUUUGUACGGAACGAAAAGCCCUGGGUUAAUACCCUGGGGUCAUGACGGUACCGUAAGAAUAAGCACCGGCUAACUACGUGCCAGCCGCCGCAGUAACAC